rnacentral:rRNA from 1 species
UACGAAGGGGGCUAGCGUUGCUCGGAAUCACUGGGCGUAAAGCGCACGUAGGCGGCUUUCUAAGUCAGGGGUGAAAUCCUGGAGCUCAACUCCAGAACUGCCUUUGAUACUGGAGAGCUUGAGUCCGGGAGAGGUGAGUGGAACUCCGAGUGCAGAGGUGAAAUUCGUAGAUAUUCGGAAGAACACCAGUGGCGAAGGCGGCUCACUGGCCCGGUACUGACGCUGAUGUGCGAAAGCGUGGGGAGCAAACAGG